UACGAAGGGGGCUAGCGUUGCUCGGAAUCACUGGGCGUAAAGGGUGCGUAGGCGGGUCUUUUAAGUCAGGGGUGAAAUCCUGGAGCUCAACUCCAGAACUGCCUUUGAUACUGAAGAUCUUGAGUUCGGGGGAGGUGAGUGGAACUGCGAGUGUAGAGGUGAAAUUCGUAGAUAUUCGCAAGAACACCAGUGGCGAAGGCGGCUCACUGGCCCGAUACUGACGCUGAGGCACGAAAAGCGUGGGGAGCAAACAGG
rnacentral:rRNA from 1 species